UGGCUCUCGCAUCGAUGAAGAACGCAGCGAAAUGCGAUAAGUAAUGUGAAUUGCAGAAUUCAGUGAAUCAUCGAAUCUUUGAACGCACCUUGCGCUCCUUGGUAUUCCGAGGAGCAUGCCUGUUUGAGUGUCAUGAAAACCCUCAACCUUAGAUUGGUUAAAACCUUUCUUUGGCUUGGAUUUGGACGUUUGCCGAUGAUAAGUCGGCUCGUCUUAAAAGUAAUAGCUGGAUCUGUCUCGCGACAUGGUUUGACUUGGCGUAAUAAGUAUUUCGCUAAGGACAUCUUCGGAUGGCCGCGUUGCAAGACUAAAGACCGCUUUCUAAUCCAUUGAUCUUCGGAUUAAUAUUCUUGACAUCUGGCCUCAAAUCAGGUAGGACUACCCGCUGA
rnacentral:misc_RNA from 1 species